rnacentral:rRNA from 1 species
GUUAGGAAUUUUGGACAAUGGGCGCAAGCCUGAUCCAGCAAUGCCGCGUGCAGGAAGAAGGCCUUCGGGUUGUAAACUGCUUUUGUACGGAACGAAACGGUCCGGGUUAAUACCCUGGGCUAAUGACGGUACCGUAAGAAUAAGCACCGGCUAACUACGUGCCAGCAGCCGCGGUAAUACGUAGGGUGCAAGCGUUAAUCGGAAUUACUGGGCGUAAAGCGGGCGCAGGCGGUUUUGUCAGCCAGGCGUGAAAUCCCCGGGCUCAACCAGGGAAUUGCGCUUGUGACUGCAAGGCUGGAGUGCGGCAGAGGGGGAUGGAAUUCCGCGUGUAGCAGUGAAAUGCGUAGAUAUGCGGAGGAACACCGAUGGCGAAGGCAAUCCCCUGGGCCUGCACUGACGCUCAUGCACGAAAGCGUGGGGAGCAAACAGGAUUAGAAACCCGUGUAGUCC